rnacentral:tRNA from 2 species
GGGUGUAUAGCUCAGUUGGUAUAGCAUUGGGUGUUUAACCUAAUGUUCGCAGGUUCAACUCUUGCUAUACCCA